CGGCCGGGCUACAGAUGCGCGCCAGCUGCGGCCCCGGGUGCAGGCGCGGCGACCGCCCCCGAGGAGCUGCCCUUUCCUUGCCAUCCAUGCGGCCAGGUCUCAGACAAACCGAUGGCUUUGUGUCAAACCAAGGCCGCCUUCCUCACCUCUGAUAAGAUGGACGCCUUCUGUCUUCGCGUUUUCAGGCACCCGGGGAAGACCCACAGAACAGGCUAGCUUGUUCCCAAUUUCCACCUGCUUCCUCCCCAUCCCGGACCGACAAAAAUUGUCGUCUGUUUGAUGGGAGGGAGAACUCCGACUCCCCCACCUGGGGCAUGCAGACACCCUCGCCCUUCCCCAGUUGGCAUGGACCGUCGUCUUUUCUCCCUCUUCCAUCAGAUCGAUGGACAAACAGGCCAGUUUCUCCCCAGUGGCCCCCACCUAAGAGCACCCUAAGUUGUCCACAGCAGGGCUAGGAAGCAGAAGGUCAGGACACUCCCCUACCCUACCUUGACUUAGAGCUGGGUAAACCCAGAACCCAUCCCCGGGCAAAUAGAGCCAGCUCCUUUGCCCCAGGAAGGGGAUUCGUCUCCCUCUGGCAUUUAGGAGUGCUCUCUAAGUGCGUUCUUGGCAGUGAGGGUGCCGCCUUCCCAGGGCAGGUGUGAUUCAUGUGGACUCUGUGGCGCCUGGGCAGGGAUCCCCAGGUAUACCAGACAAGGGGCAGGUGUGCCCUGGGAAACCGCCUAAGAGGUCCAUGGGCUAUGGAAGGAGCUGGGGUCCACAGUCCCUCUGCCUGAGCGUGUCUUUUUCCCUCACCCACAGCGCUCUAGGGAAAGUUGCCUAAACCUCUCUGAGCCUCAUUUCUUUCAUUUGUAAAGUGGGGCACUCAUAGUGGCCCUUCAUAGAAUUGUGUGUAAAGUGCUUAGCACAGGCCUGGCACAUGGAGGGUGCUCCAGCCUCCGGGAGCCAUCACUGUCAUGAAAAAAUAAGACCUCUCAAUCCUUGCUGGGGGCCUUUGACCCACCCCUCCUCUCUCUGGGCCUCACACUUCCAUCUGUGAAAUGUCCAGUUCUCAUAUUCAAAGCUUACUAGGACUCCAAGCCAGUCCAUGCUGUCCUGAUCCCUCAAUUCGCCCACAGGCUGCCUGGGGGAGGUAAGGACUGGCUGUGACCUACCUCCACGUGGAGUCAGCUCAUAGCGGGGUUUCCAGCAACCAUCACAGGGCGGCCAGAGCUGGGUCUCGAUGAUUGCCUGUCUGACCAUUCCUCUCAGAACCUCACUUUCGCCCCCAGCCGGCCGCCCUCCUGUGGGCAGACCCUUUCCUGAGUAGCAACUGGGCCUCAGCGGACACUGCCAGGGACCCCGUUUCCUUCCCAGGAGGCCUCUGUUCCCCAUAUCCCGAAUCACACAGGAGCCUAGUCCAGCGAAGAGAGCAGAGGACUCUCUUCUAGAACUGAAAAUUUCUCCCAGCCUGGCCCUAAAUCCCCUGUCCAGAGGGACCCGUGGUGAAACCUAUCUCCUGCCCAGUGCCCUAGAACUCAAAGGGGACAUUCAUGCCCCUCACUGAGCCUCAAUUUCCUCUUCUGUCAAUGGAGGUCAUUCUAACCACUCCAUUUCACGGGAGGGGGAUUAAGGAUUCCCUCUAGGAGGGGAGGGGCAUCAUUGUGAUUGAUGAUCGAUUGUUUGAAGAAACAGAAAGAAAAUGCUGCUGAGUAAACUAGGACUCAUCUGCAUCCUGAUUUCAGAUAAUGAUCUCUGAAUAUAUAAGCGAGAAAUGUUAAUGAAAAAUGGCAAUAUAUCUGGGUUGAGGGGUUGUCUCCUGUAGGCCGGGGGUCCAGCUCCAGAGAGUCCAGCUCUGGGGUCAUCUAUCCUGGGCAGCCUCUCUGGAAGGAUUCAGAAUGUGUGGGAGCACAAAUGUGCUUCUCAAAUUACAGAGAUCUUUCUUCCUUUUUGGAAAGUUCCAGACUUGGAGGGGAGGGAGAAGGAGCAAGGGAGAGCAGGGUGGUGAGGGUGUUAGGACCCAGAUGCUGCCUGUGCGGUCUGAGACUUUUGCCUGGUGUCCACGCUCCCCUGAGCCUUGGUCCCCGAGGGUAAAAUGGGAAGAACAGUAACAGCUGGGGGUGCUGAGGCUUUACCUUGUGCCAGGCGCCGCACAUGGGCAUUGCUCAUGGUAUUCAAUCCCCACGGCGUCAUAUGUGGUAGGUGUUAUGCCCAUGUAAGCAAAGAGGAACGUUGUCCGAGGUCAGCCAGGCUAGAGAGGGCCAGACCCGGGUUAAAAGUCUGCUCUGGUUCAAAAUGUGGGGCAUGAACGCAUCACCUGGCCAAGCAUGUCAGCACUCUCCUCCUAGUGGCUGAGUAAUGGGAAGAGCUAGCAUCUAGAUACAGAGGAAAGAGCUAUUGUGAUGGGGAGAGGGAGCUGGGUUUGGUAAAUCCUGCUAAGCAGCCCUGGGCUUGGAAAUCAGUAAACUCUUCAAAUCUGCAGGGAGUCAGGAAGGACUUGCCAGGGUCAUUCGGGAGGGUCCUGUGAUAGUCAAGGUGCACCCACCACCUGCUCUCCUUUGGCCUCAGAACCAGUCUGCGAGGAGGCAGGACUGGCAGUAGUCCCCAGUUUACAGAUGGGAACACUGAGGCCCAGAAAGGGGAAAGGGCGUGAUCAGGAUCUGGAAUGAGCUCCAGCAAGGCCAGGAGCAAGCACCUCGAGGCAAAACGCAGUUGGACAGGACCUUUGCCUUGCAGGAGACUGCAGCCCAGUCCUGGGCCUCAUACACUAGCACCCUGAUGCCACAUUCAGUGCCUCUCGCCCAGGGGAAGUGCUAAUCAGACGUGUUUCCCUCUGGGCCUCAGUGUUUGCAUCUGAAUGCGGGGGUGCACUUUCAAGGCCCCUCUACAUGCCAUGCGGGUUCCAUAGGACCCCAGGGUUUGGUUGUGACCCGAGGCCCCUCCUCCCCACCCACCUCCUCUCCACCUCCCGCGGGGCGCCAGCUCCCUUGCGUCCACAUGACCUCGGAUCCUUCCACGCCCAUCCCCACCCUGUUCUGCAGGUGGGUGGUCAGAGGGUGCUCUGCUUUGAGGAUGGGAGAGAGAAAGGGAGGCAAGGACGGAGAAAAGAGACUUCUUUUGCGGGAGCGCAGAGCAGAAAAACCGUCUCCAUCGGUUACCAGGGAAGGGGUUUCUGGUUUCAGAUCCCAUCACUUGGUGGGGCCUUCCUACCACCCUCCCUGCUACUCGCUCUUGUCAUCUGUAAAUCAGGGAAAUACUUCUGGAAGACAGUUAUCUGGUCUGUGACUUUGAUCAUUGGUCUAUGACUAAUAAUUGCCCUAAUUUUUUGAACACCUGCCGCAUGCUGGGAGUUUUCCGCCAAUUGUCGCUCACCCUCAGGUGCCUCUGAAGGGCAGAGAUUUUAUUCUUUCCAUUUCACAGAUGGGGAAACCCAAGCUCCGAAAGUAAAGAGCUUUUCCUCUGUGGGCCUCAGAAUCUGAGAAGUUCAAACAGGUUCUCAGGAGCCCUUCCAGCACCCCACUCCUCGAUCAGGGAGGGGCUGUCUGCACUCUGACCGCUGCUCUCAGCGCAGAGCUCUCCAUCCAAAGCAGCAGGUGCGUGCAGAGCUACCUGCCAGCAGAGCCAUCAAACACGGACUCUUCUACUGGGAGCCAUGGAGUGGUGAGAGAGACCUGGGCAGCUUGGAGCCAAGGGGGCUUCUGGGAAACAUGUGCCCUUCCCCCAGGGUGGGGUUCAGCUCUGGCGGGCAGGGAGAGAAAGGGCUCUUCUGAGUGGCUGUUGCUUUACACACAUUUUUGCUUCACAGUAUUCUUAGGGAGUAGCGACAGUUAUCACUCCCAUUUUACAGGAAAGAAAACUGAGGCUUAGAGAGCUCAAGUAACUUGUCCAAGUUGGCACCACUGGGAAACCACAGGGGUAGGAUUCCAACGAGGCAGCCUGGCCCCAGAGCCCAUGUUGCUGCCCACUACACUCUACUCUUGUGGACUAAAACCAGAUGCUCAGAGUUACAGUCAUGGAAUAGAAUUAGAAUCCUGGCAGAAGAACUGUGGGCAGGAUUCGGAAUUUUACAAUGUCAGACUCGAAAGGGCUCUGAGAUAUCAAAUCCAAAUCCCCAUUUCUCAAAUGACAGAACUGAGGCCUAGGAAGGAAGAGUCUCACUCAAGGUCACAGCCAGUGCCAGGGACAGAGUCUGCACCCCCUGCCUCUCCAGCUACCUCCCGCUGACUCCGCACCUUCCUCUCUCGCAGGCCCUCCUCUCCCCACUGCCCACCCAGCAGCUUCUGGGCCCAGCCAGGCCCAUUAGGGAUUUUCCACCUCCCCAAAAAGGUCCUGAUGACUGUCAGUCCUUGUGAAGCCUUAAUUAAUCUCAGAGGCCGAUGGCUCGGAGGAGACUGGGGGCUUUGGCCUUACGCAGAUGAAGAUUGCGGCUCUAUUUCAUGUGGUGGUGAAAGAACGCCUCAGACAUUCCUGCCAGCAAUAAAAGCCACAUGGCUUUCCAGCAUCGCCCUUGGAAAAGAAAAAAAAGUGCAGCCCUUUGCGGAAAUAAAUCAACUAUGUGCUGUACGCAUGGCAUGAGAUACAAAUGGGCAUACGGAGGUGGGCAACAGUCGGUCUUUUAUGCCGCCUCUGAUGUCCACUGACAGUGGCAGGGCCAGCGGUCAUGGUCCCAGCUGCAAUCCUGGGGAGAGGGAGUGACCCCCAGUGUGGUGGGGGAAGCCUCAGCUUCUCCACCUGAACUGGAUUUGAGCCACCCUAGAUAUCCCAGAGGCAGGGCCGGCUUUCUGGCCUGUGACCCAUGCAGUCGCACAGGGCCCUGGUCUCAGAAGGGUCCUGAGCUUGUUUUAAUGCCCUGCCACCACUGCCUUGAACUUCUGAAUACUUGCUCAACAAAGGUCCUGCGUUUUCAUUUUGUACUGGGCCCCCCAAAUUAUAUAGCCAGUCCUGACCACAAAUCCACCCCUCAUCACCAAUUGUCACGUCUCUCCUGGCCCCUGCCAUGUACCCAAUCCCGGGGAGUAGGGUUUCUUGAGUGCCUACUAGCCAGUUUGCUUAUAUCACCUGAGAUGAACUUCAGAAUGACUUUGUGAAUUGGGCAGAUGUGGAAAAUUGAGGCUCAGAGAGGCUUCCAUAUGGCAAGGAAGCCUAGACUUGAACUCAGGUCUCCCUGACUCCAAAGUGAGUGCUCUUAGCAGCUCUACAUUCUGCAUUAUUUCAUCUUCACCAUGCCCAGGGGGAUGGGGAUACACACAGUUAGGCUGCUCUAUUCCCAGAUAACAGAAGGCAUAACUGAGGCCAGAGAAGUGAAGGUUCUCAAGUCAGUGUCAAACCGAGGGCCUGGGCAACAGUGGACCUGGGCCUGGAUCCAUAGGGCUGGGGAUGGAGUCUCAGUUUUAUAGUUGUUUGUGCCACUUGUAAAUUUAUUAGCUCUUUCCAUGCAGGUCACUGCCUUGAGUCUGGUCUGGAAUGUGGCUGGAGCCCUACCCUGUCCCCCUCCCCCACAGCUCUCCAUUCUAAACAUCUGGAAGUCCUUCCUUGUGUCUUCUUCCACUCUUUCACGCUGCAGUUUUCCUCUGCCACCCUCACUGGUUGGGAAGCAGUUGGAUCUGGCACCUUGAUAAACUCAAAAGAGUCCAAAUUCUUGAUGAAAGUUGGGGCUGAACAGAGCCCAUAGAUUGCCAUGUCCUAUAACCAGGCCUGGGCCUAAGGCUCAUAGAGCCAACUGCUAGAUCCAGGGCAGCCAUUUCCUUGUUCCUUGCUGGGUAACCUUGAGCAAGUCCCUUCCCUCUCUGGCCCUCAGACUCCCCUUCAGGGAGAUAAAUGCAUUGGACCACACCUGAGCCCCAGGAGGCCUCUCUGUCUUCAACAUUCUAGAAUUCCAUAUUAAUCUACAACAGGUCUGUUCAUUUCCGCAUCUAAUAGCUGGGGAAACCGAGGCCCAGGAAGGAUCAGAGAUUUGCCCACCGUCACAGAAGGUGCUUAUUGACAAGUGGACUUGACUCUGAGGCUCCUGUCAGCUGGCCCGGUUGCCUCUGCACAAACUUUCGGAGGAUCUGGCCUCAGCAUCAGCUCAGCUUGCCCUUGUCCCGCCGCCUUUAGCCCAGGUGGUCUGUCAGGCACCCUCAGUGUCCAGGCCUGGAAAUCACAGCUAAGAGUCCUUGGCAGGCAAUAAAGUUCCUCUUCUAUGGCUUGAAUGUCUCCCAAAAGUCAUACAUUAAAACUUCACCCCCAUUGUGAUGGUAUUAAGAGGCAGUGGGGGGCCUUUCGGGAAGUGAUUAAGUGGUGAAGGCUCUGCCCUCAUGAAUGGAUUAGGCCCUCUUUGCCCUUCUGACUUCAGGACACAAUGUUCUGUGUCCUCCGGAGGACACAGCCAGAAGACACUGCCUUGGAAACAGGGAGUCCAGGACCUCACCAGAUGCGGAACCUGCCAGAGCCUUGAUCUUGGACUUCCCAGUCUCCAGAACCAUGUGUAGAAGAAGAGGACAGAAAUGAUUGCAGGGGGUUAACCUAGGCCCCUGGGGACGCUCCCUGUUUGCAUCCUCCUUUCCCCACAACCCAGAGAGCUAUGUGGGCUUCACCUGGAGUUCCCUGAAUCCUUCUGGAGCUCCCCGCAGAUCACAGCCGGAGCUGGCAGGGCCUGAGUGGCCCCUGUCUGCCAGGCGAGGGACCCAGAGCCCAGAGAAGUUUGACCAGGACUGGCUUCCUCUGCCCUCUCUGCUGUGUGCUUCCACCAGUUGCAGCAAGUCCCACCAUCUGCCUGAGUCUGUUUUCAUCUCCACAAUGGAGGUGGUGAUGCCCAGCACACGGAGCUGUGAUGAGGAUUUAAUGGGGAAUCCAGAGCAUUUAUGGAAGUGCCAGGAGGCCAAGAUUCUGCAUAGGGACUGCAUGUGCUGGUGGAAUCUCAGUCACCAUGUCCCACGUUGAAGGAUGUUUGGAGGGGGCUGACUUUGGUCACCCUUCAAAUCAUAAGUUAUAUGCGUCUGCCCUUUCCGCCCACACGUAAGUCUGAACCUUUUGCCAAAAACACUUUUCCCAGACUCGAAAGAAAACCCCAAAGAGGAACCUAAACCUUCACGCUGCCUGCACCGAUUGGACCGGAGUGCUCAGGCUCGCGCCAACAAGUGUUUCAAAGAAGAAGCCAGACAGUGAAGGGGGAAGUGAGGGAGAAGCUGGAAAACUCUCAGGCUGACCAAUCGUCAGCCCAUUCAUUCGUUCAUCCAUCCAUCCAUCCAUCCAUCCAUCCAUCCAUCCAUCCAUCCAUUCUUUCUUUCUUUCCUCUAUCCAUUCAGUGAGAAGGGCUGAAUAUCACCUGUGAGCCUGCCCCUGCUCCCAAGAACACCCUUUGGACACCUGUGGGCUCUGCAAGGUUGGUGUAACCCCUACAGAUGAGGAAACCAGAGACAGAGAAGUGAAGUAACUCAUGCAGGUGACGGCAGAGGGCAGAGUCAGGACUUGAACCUGGAGAGCCUGGCUCUAAAGCCCAAGCUGGAAUCUCGAUACUCUACACCUCGAUAAGUUUUUGGGAAAUGACUGACUAAACAGAUGAACGCGUUUGCCCCCCCGCCGCCCCAGAGCCCCCUUAAAGCCUACAUGUGGCAGUUUGGGCCCAUUUCCUUGGCUUCCCUCCCUGGAGGGGCACCCACUGCCAGUGUCCCUGGUGAGUGUUUGCCUGUGGGGGUACAAGUGAGGGUUCAGCAAAGGUGACCUGGUGUGAGGGGGGGGUGCCCCAGGGGGUGCAGAGGAGGGCCUCAUGAGGCAGAUUCAGAAUGAAGGUUCUGGCCCCCAGUGGAACCGUGCAUGGGCAAGGGGUCCUCAGGGCCAUUGGCCCAUAAUUGUCAGACGGGGAAACUGAGGCCCAGAGAGAGGAAGGGACUUGUCCUUAGUUACACAGAGUGUCUGGAUCACAGCUCUUAGGUCUCAGCUUCCCCAUUUGUCACACAGGGAGAAUAAAUCCCCCUUGUCCUGCCUGGGGGUAGACCCCAGGGGGCCCCUGUGCCCUCUCACACCUUCCAUUCCAGCUUCUAGAAUUCCACCAUCCAUGCACCAGCCCUGAGGGUAGGCGUUGCCCUCUUCUCACCUCCUGCUCACGCCUCUACUGCAGGAUGGGAACCAAAUGCCUCUCCACCCUUUUCCCACACCCCUUCUCUCCACAGUGAACUGAGGGGAGUUUCUGAUCCCUUAGCUCAAAGUCAGAGAAACUGAGAGGGGAGGGCUGGGUGGGAGCCGUGGGAAUGUCAUGCACAAGCAGUCGGACUCUCCAGGGGUCUGGAUCUCUCCCUUGCUGCCUUGAAGGCCCCUGCACAGGCUGUGGCACUGGCUGAGUACAGGUGCCUGAAGGCAGAGGCAUGGAUGGGAUGCUUCAUUCUCAGCCUGUUUUUGCCAGUGAAGACAAAAGGGAAGUCAUCUUCCGUUGGUCUAUGGGGACCCUGAGGUAGUAGGAGCUCGGUGAUAAUUCUAGGGACCACCCUGGGUUGUCAGGUGGGGGAGACAGAGAAGCCCACAUAGGAGGCACCAAAUGCAACUCACUCGUGCCCUUUUACUCAUGAGAGAACACGGAUCCAGAGAUGUCAAGUGACUCAGACACAGUCUCACAGCACACAGGCGGCAGAGGCAGGUAGGGGACUGGGCUUCCCUGGCAGCAGUCCCCAAGCCUGCCUGAGAGGCACAUCAGAAUCGCUUUAGGGGAUUUGCAAAACCACACCUGCCCAGGCCCAAACCCUAGAGAUUCUGAUUCCGCAGUCUGAGGUAGGAAUGGAGAAUCCUCCACAGCCUGAGGUAGGAACUGGGAAUCCAGUGUUUAAAACUCUCUAGGGGCGGUGAUUUCAGAAAACCUGCUGGCUCCAUCACACUUUGCUCAGGGACUGAGAUGGGAUGGCAUUUGGAAGACACAGGUAGGAGGAAGAGGAGGCAGUGGGGGGCACAGGGAGACCCUUCCCCUUCUGGUAAAAGCCUGUGGACGAGAGAACAGCCCGAGUAAGAUUCUGAGAACCCGAGACCCGGAUGGACCUGGAGUUUUUGUCUUGCGUAUAAUUUAGGGGGUCUGUGACACUGGGCUGGAGAUAACCGUGUCUUUCCUUUCCCUGGCCUCUAGCUGAAAUUUAGCAUCAUAUUCCAUGGCGAUUUUCCACCAGUGGAAAUCACAGGUGUUCUCUGGUAUCACAGCGGGGUCAGGGAUGACCUGAAAUAUUGUUCAUGCUCAUCACAACUGCAUGGCCCACCGCGGGGUCUUGUCACUCAGUGAGUUCUUGAAGAGGCACAGACAAAUGGAGUUCAACAAAUGGAAAACAACUGCCUUUAAUUAGCUCCGAGGACUACAAAGGGAACAACGUUAUAAUAGCAGCAACUCCAAGGAAGCAGCCACAGCUCUCAGCUCUCAGACCUGGGGCUGCCGCUCAUCAUCAGCUACAGCUAGGUUUGAUGGGAGUGCCCCCAUUUCAGGGGACAGCAGGCCCCCUUCACUCCCCGACUCAGUCCCCAUCUGCAGCAGCACAGCCUUCCUUGGCCUCACCAGGGAAGAAGAACAGGCCCCGCUCUCAGACAAGCCUUCCCAGAAGCCUGAGGACUCAAACACCCAAAUGUGUCUGGGUCCCUGCCCCGAGCCGGCCACCCAGGCAGCAGCCCUGAAUCACUCGGUCAGCCAGCGGCAGGGCAGGCCAAUGGGCUGGAGGGUAGGCAGGCAGGCAGACCCACCUCUGCAUCUCUGCUGACUGCCUCGGCUGAGGAAAGGCAGCACCAGCCCCCAACCCUGAAGUUCUAGAUCUCAUGCAGCCUCUCUGUUCUGGAACCAUCCAGAGGCACUGCCCUUAUACAUGGUCCACCCCCAGGCUCAGACAAUGAGAAUUCCACAAGCAGAGGGGACUCUAUUUGGGGCACAGAGAGGUUAAGUAACUCCCCUCCUAAGGUCUCUCAGCAAGGAAGCCACUGAGCCGUGGGACUUGAGCUCAGGGACUCUUGAUCCCCAGUCUCAGGUGUCACAGCCCCAUCUGGGCUCCUGCUAGGGAGGAGGAAGGCAGCAGGGGGUGUCUGAGGCCAGGGUGCAUCAGCCCUAAAUGCCAGACAGAGGCAGGAGAAGUCUCCCCAUGAGUCCCAGCCCCAUUAGAGGCUCCAGGUCGGGGAUCCCAGACCCCCUAUCCUUGCUGGGAGACACAACCCAGAACUCUGCAUCCCUGCAGCCACCAAAAAAGGCAAAAGCUGCCCAGAAACACUUUCUCCUCUUCCGUGGCCAAAUCCACGAACUUUCUCGAGGUCUGUCCCCCUGCCCCGUGCAGGUCCAGCUUCAGUGCAGCCCAGCUCUGUGCAGUUUUCCACAAAAGCCUGUGGCUUCCUUCUCCUCCCUCUGCUUCUGAUACCCCAGGAGUUACACACAAAAUGUUGGCGGUGGUCUCCAGGAAGACCCCUGCAUCCCACAGCUCUCCCCAGAAGUUGCCAGCAGUGACCUCCUGAGCCCAGGUGGGGAGUCCCAGGCAGGACAGGGGCUGGGGCUGCAGGCCCUGGGGCCCUGUUAGUGAAGCAGCAAGCCGAGGGUCCCUGAGAGUUUCCCUUGGCCCCUCUGAGGGCUGCCCUUUGAGGUCUUGAGGUCUUGGAGUAUCCAUCGCCCCCACGGCUUACUGUCCCCACCAGCGGAGGAUGAAAGUGCCACAGCGAUGUUCCACGCCAAGAGACCACAGAGACCACCAACCCCUCUUCCCACCUCAGGCUUUCAGAGGCCAGCGGAUUUAGGCGGACAGGCUGUGCGCUUGAGGGCAGCCAGGGCGGUCAGUGGAGGGACGUGGUCCGGGGCCUGGCCACAGCUCCCCACCCAGGGCCCUGGGCUAUUGUUACUCACCGCGGAUGAAGGUCGGCGAGUAGGUCGGGAAGGAGUCGAAGAUGCUGUUCGAUGCCAUGCCCCGCUCUGAAGAAGGCGAGAAUUUUCAGCCCUUCAGGGGGUUGGGUUGGGAUUCACUUGGUUGGCUGUUGUUUUAUUUUUUUUUCCUCUAGCUACUUUUGAAAAUAAAAGGGGGGGGUGUUGCUUUUUGUUGUUU
rnacentral:lncRNA from 1 species